rnacentral:rRNA from 1 species
UACGUAGGCAGCAAGCGUUGUUCGGAUUUACUGGGCGUAAAGGGCGCGUAGGCGGCAGAUCAAGUCAGUUGUGAAAUCUCUGAGCUUAACUCAGAACUGUCAACUGAUACUGCUCUGCUAGAGUGCGGAAGGGGCAAUCGGAAUUCUUGGUGUAGCGGUGAAAUGCGUAGAUAUCAAGAGGAACACCAGUGGCGAAGGCGGCUCACUGGUCCGGUAACUGACGCUGGAGGUGCGAAAGCGUGGGGAGCAAACAGG